GACGAACGCUGGCGGCGUGCUUAACACAUGCAAGUCGAACGGAAAGGCCCUGCUUUUGUGGGGUGCUCGAGUGGCGAACGGGUGAGUAACACGUGGGUAACCUGCCCUUGACUUUGGGAUAACUUCAGGAAACUGGGGCUAAUACCGGAUAGGAGCUCCUGCUGCAUGGUGGGGGUUGGAAAGUUUCGGCGGUUGGGGAUGGACUCGCGGCUUAUCAGCUUGUUGGUGGGGUAGUGGCUUACCAAGGCUUUGACGGGUAGCCGGCCUGAGAGGGUGACCGGCCACAUUGGGACUGAGAUACGGCCCAGGCUCCUACGGGAGGCAGCAGUGGGGAAUAUUGCACAAUGGGCGGAAGCCUGAUGCAGCAACGCCGCGUGCGGGAUGACGGCCUUCGGGUUGUAAACCGCUUUCGCCUGUGACGAAGCGUGAGUGACGGUAAUGGGUAAAGAAGCACCGGCUAACUACGUG
rnacentral:rRNA from 1 species